GGCCAAGUUUUUAAGGGCGCACGGUGGAUGCCUUGGCACCAGGAACCGAUGAAGGACGUGGGAGGCCACGAUAGGCCCCGGGGAGUCGUCAACCAGGCUUUGAUCCGGGGGUGUCCGAAUGGGGAAACCCGGCAGUCGUCAUGGGCUGUCACCCGCUGCUGAACACAUAGGCAGUGUGGAGGGAACGCGGGGAAGUGAAACAUCUCAGUACCCGCAGGAAGAGAAAACAACCGUGAUUCCGGGAGUAGUGGCGAGCGAAACUGGAUGAGGCCAAACCGUAUACGUGUGAGACCCGGCAGGGGUUGCGUGUGCGGGGUUGUGGGAUCUCUCUUCCACGGUCUGCCGGCCGUGGGGCGAGUCAGAAACCGUUGAUGUAGACGAAGGACAUGCGAAAGGUCCGGCGUAGAGGGUAAGACCCCCGUAGUCGAAACGUCAGCGGCUUGCUUGAGAGACACCCAAGUAGCACGGGGCCCGAGAAAUCCCGUGUGAAUCUGGCGGGACCACCCGCUAAGCCUAAAUAUUCCCUGGUGACCGAUAGCGGAUAGUACCGUGAGGGAAUGGUGAAAAGUACCGCGGGAGCGGAGUGAAAUAGUACCUGAAACCGUGUGCCUACAAGCCGUGGGAGCGUCGGACAUCAGCUUGCUGGUGUCUCGUGACUGCGUGCCUUUUGAAGAAUGAGCCUGCGAGUUUGCGGUGUGUUGCGAGGUUAACCCGGGUGGGGUAGCCGUAGCGAAAGCGAGUCCGAACAGGGCGAUUUUAGUAGCACGCUCAAGACCCGAAGCGGAGUGAUCUAGCCAUGGGCAGGUUGAAGCGGAGGUAAGACUUCGUGGAGGACCGAACCCACCAGGGUUGAAAACCUGGGGGAUGACCUGUGGUUAGGGGUGAAAGGCCAAUCAAACUCCGUGAUAGCUGGUUCUCCCCGAAAUGCAUUUAGGUGCAGCGUCGUGUGUUUCUUGCCGGAGGUAGAGCACUGGAUAGGCGAUGGGCCCUACCGGGUUACUGACCUUAGCCAAACUCCGAAUGCCGGUAAGUGAGAGCGCGGCAGUGAGACUGUGGGGGAUAAGCUCCAUGGUCGAGAGGGAAACAGCCCAGAGCAUCGACUAAGGCCCCUAAGCGUACGCUAAGUGGGAAAGGAUGUGGAGUCGCACAGACAACCAGGAGGUUGGCUUAGAAGCAGCCACCCUUGAAAGAGUGCGUAAUAGCUCACUGGUCUAGUGAUUCCGCGCCGACAAUGUAGCGGGGCUCAAGCGUACCGCCGAAGUCGUGUCAUUGCAGCAAUACGGCCAACGCCGGCUGUGAUGGGUAGGGGAGCGUCGUGUGCCGGGUGAAGCAGCCGCGUAAGCGAGUUGUGGACGGUUCACGAGUGAGAAUGCAGGCAUGAGUAGCGAUACAAACGUGAGAAACGUUUGCGCCGAUUGACUAAGGGUUCCUGGGUCAAGCUGAUCUGCCCAGGGUAAGUCGGGACCUAAGGCGAGGCCGACAGGCGUAGUCGAUGGAUAACCGGUUGAUAUUCCGGUACCCGCUGUGAAGCGUCAAACAUCGAAUCCAGUGAUGCUAAGGCCGUGAAGCCGCCCCUGAUCUCUUCGGAGUGAGGGGGAGUGGUGGAGCCGCUGAACCAAGUUGGUAGUAGGUGAGUGAUGGGGUGACGCAGGAAGGUAGUCCAUCCCGGGCGGUGGUUGUCCCGGGGUAAGGGUGUAGGCCGUGCGGUAGGUAAAUCCGUCGCACACAAGGCUGAGACCUGAUGCCGAGCCGAUUGUGGUGAAGUGGAUGAUCCUAUGCUGUCGAGAAAAGCCUCUAGCGAGUUUCAUGGCGGCCCGUACCCUAAACCGACUCAGGUGGUCAGGUAGAGAAUACCGAGGCGUUCGGGUGAACUAUGGUUAAGGAACUCGGCAAAAUGCCCCCGUAACUUCGGGAGAAGGGGGGCCAUUCUUGGUGAUCGGAUUUACUCCGUGAGCUGGGGGUGGCCGCAGAGACCAGCGAGAAGCGACUGUUUACUAAAAACACAGGUCCGUGCGAAGCCGUAAGGCGAUGUAUACGGACUGACGCCUGCCCGGUGCUGGAACGUUAAGGGGACCGGUUAGCUUGGAUUCGUCCAGGCGAAGCUGAGAACUUAAGCGCCAGUAAACGGCGGUGGUAACUAUAACCAUCCUAAGGUAGCGAAAUUCCUUGUCGGGUAAGUUCCGACCUGCACGAAUGGCGUAACGACUUCUCGACUGUCUCAACCAUAGGCCCGGUGAAAUUGCACUACGAGUAAAGAUGCUCGUUUCGCGCAGCAGGACGGAAAGACCCCGGGACCUUUACUACAGUUUGAUAUUGGUGUUCGGUUCGGCUUGUGUAGGAUAGCUGGGAGACUUUGAAGCUCGCACGCCAGUGUGGGUGGAGUCGUCGUUGAAAUACCAGUCUGGUCGUGCUGGAUGUCUAACCUGGGUCCGUGAUCCGGAUCAGGGACAGUGUCUGAUGGGUAGUUUAACUGGGGCGGUUGCCUCCUAAAGGGUAACGGAGGCGCCCAAAGGUUCCCUCAGCCUGGUUGGCAAUCAGGUGUUGAGUGUAAGUGCACAAGGGAGCUUGACUGUGAGACCGACGGGUCGAGCAGGGACGAAAGUCGGGACUAGUGAUCCGGCGGUGGCUUGUGGAAGCGCCGUCGCUCAACGGAUAAAAGGUACCCCGGGGAUAACAGGCUGAUCUUCCCCAAGAGUCCAUAUCGACGGGAUGGUUUGGCACCUCGAUGUCGGCUCGUCGCAUCCUGGGGCUGGAGUCGGUCCCAAGGGUUGGGCUGUUCGCCCAUUAAAGCGGUACGCGAGCUGGGUUUAGAACGUCGUGAGACAGUUCGGUCCCUAUCCGCUGUGCGCGUAGGAGUCUUGAGAAGGGCUGUCCCUAGUACGAGAGGACCGGGACGGACGAACCUCUGGUGUGCCAGUUGUUCUGCCAAGGGCAUGGCUGGUUGGCUACGUUCGGGAGGGAUAACCGCUGAAAGCAUCUAAGCGGGAAGCCUGCUUCGAGAUGAGGACUCCCACCUCCUAGAGAGGGUAAGGCUCCCAGUAGACGACUGGGUUGAUAGGCCAGAUAUGGAAGCCGGGUAACCGGUGGAGUUGACUGGUACUAAUAGGCCGAGGGCUUGUCCUC
rnacentral:rRNA from 1 species